GCUUUAAAGCGUAAUUUAGGACUAUCAUGGUCAAUUGCCUUGUUGGCAUUGCAAAUUUCAACAUUACCCGAGGUAGUUUAGCUGAGUUCGCUCUCAGUGCUGCUGGAGUGAUUGCCAAGUGAUGUGGUAAAAAGUGAGUGACUGGCGCA